AUUGAACGCUGGCGGCAGGCCUAACACAUGCAAGUCGAACGAGCGGCGGACGGGUGAGUAACGUCUGGGAAACUGCCUGAUGGAGGGGGAUAACUACUGGAAACGGUAGCUAAUACCGCAUACCAUCGGAUGUGCCCAGAUGGGAUUAGCUCGUAGGUGGGGUAAAGGCUCACCUAGGCGACGAUCCCUAGUUGGUCUGCGGGGAUGACCAGGCACCCUGGAACUGAGACACGGUCCGGACUCCUACGGGAGGCAGCAGUGGGGAAUCUUCCGCAAUGGGCACAGGCCUGAGGCGGCCAUGCCGCGUGUAUGAAGAAUGCCUUCGGGUUGUAAAGUACUUUCAGCGGGGAGGCGUUACCCGAAGGAGAAGCACCGGCUAACUCCGUGCCAGCCGCCGCGGUAAUAC
rnacentral:rRNA from 1 species